UGAGAAGGGGUUAGCAACUAGCAGCAAAGCUUGCUCUUUGGAGAGAGAUGAGACCGAAUUUGACGAUGGUGGAGCUGGGUAUUUGUUCGUUGUUCUUGAUAAUAAUGGAUGAUGAAUUGAGAUGAUUUAAUUGAUGAUGUAUUGAUGAACUUGGCUGUUGGGGAUGAAGAAGACGAACAUUGAGGUGGUAGUCGCUAGGGAUGAGGGAGAUGAGGAUUGAGGUGGCCGCUGGGGAUGAGUGAGAUGAAGAUUGAGAUGAAGAUGGAGAUGAAGAUUGAGAGAUGAACUGAUGAAGAUUGAGGGAUUGUUUUGUUUUGCUUAUGUUCCCC
rnacentral:lncRNA from 1 species